GUCCCUGUAGUGCAAUGGAUAGCUCUUUGGACUUGUAAUCCAAAGGUCGUGGGUGGAUCCGAAUCCCUCCUGGGAUG
rnacentral:tRNA from 1 species